CCACGUCUUAGUGGGGUGGUCGUGCCUGCCAGUCACGGAGGCCGGGCGGCCAGGACGUGCGCAGAGUGAUAUGAUAUGGUCCGGCGUGAUGGAGAGAGUAGGUGGGACCGUCCAGCCUACCAGGUGAGUGCAGACACGGGCUGUGCCCCCCACCCCGGGCCCGCUGACCCACACUCAGCCUCACGGGCGCCUCUCUCCUGUAGAAUACUGUCAGCUGGCCCCGCGAGGAGUCGGGAUAUCUCUGUUCUUUUAGUCUCCUGAAGGAGCAAACACAGUACUGCUGCUCUUCAGACCCCCAGAACCCUCAAGAUGACAAGAAAUGGUGCUACCCAGCUCAUGCCUGGGACUUGGAACAUGGACUUCUUCAAGUCUUUCUAGCUCUGACUCGAGAAUAUGCUGCAUUUUGGAACCACUAUACACCUUAACUCAGGAAUCAGCUCUGGAAGGUUGAUCUAAAGGAACAGACGGCCCACACCACCGGAAGAGCAGCCCCCGCGGCGACACCCACCCUGGCCCGGCGACUCCAUCUCUGCGGCCAACCCCUGCCACAGCCCCAAGACCACCAACAGCCUCCCUCCCUCCUUUUCCUCCUUUUCUGUCUCUAUUUUCUGAUCUUCUCUCUGCUAUCCUUUGCUCAGGAGACUCAGAGCGUUCAGAGCCCCGUUCUCCCCGUCCCUCUUGAAUUAAUUUGCACUAAAAGUCGUUUGCACUGGUUGGGGUUCUGGAGCCAGCCCUGGUCUCUGAGCGUGUGUAAGCGCGUGUGUGUGCCCACUGCUGAAUGUGUAGGCCUCCUCGGCCCGUGCCCCCCACCCAGCACCCCGCCCACCCUCGGGGGUGUCUGGGAGGGGGCCCGACUGGGGGGCCCGAGUGUGAGGGGCCCCGCCUUCCCACACCUAGUCUGGAGGCUCCAAACAUCAGGAGCACACCAAGCAUUUCAUUGUGUGUCCAUCUCGCUCAUGUCCCUCCCUGCCAGGGCCUCCCCAGAAGCCCUGGAUUCAUCAAUAAACUCAGUUACAGGAAUUUGUCUCAGGACUCUUGCAUUUGAGAUGAACGGGGAGGGGGCUGGGGGGAAAAUGGGGCGAGGGAACACGAGAAGGCAAUCGGGCCGCAAGGGGCCAGACA
ensembl:lncRNA